rnacentral:lncRNA from 1 species
GGUUCAUUAUUCAUUUGAGCCAGAAAACUCCACAAAAUCAUGCAAAUCAAGAGGUUCAAAUCUUCUUGUUCACUUUAAGAACUCUCGUGCUCUGCCCGUACAUGAACAUUCCCUGACACAUUGAAAUGAUCCUCACUGAAAAGGAACAAUCGGCUCUUAAACCAGAAGAGGAGGUUGCACAGAAGAAAAAGAUAUCCCAGAAGAAACUAAAGAAACAAAAACUAUGGCAUGGGAAUAA